AUAUCCCCUCUGAUUCUAAGUCCAAACCAUUGGCAUCGAGCCACAUGGACCCAGAGCCUCUGGUCCUCCUCGAUUCACCUUUCAGUUGCCCAGCAGCAAUUCCCAAAGUUUCAAACCAACUGAAACCAGCGUUGGCGGAGUCCAUUUUCCUGGCUCUGAACCCACAAACUUCAACAAUGACUUCACUCACAGUUUUGGCUCAUGGCUUAUCCUUAAACUCGCCAAAACCAUCACCCAAGUCCUUCAAUGUUCCACCUUUGAAGCACAGGACAGGCUUUUGCUCUUUUAAUAUCCCCCUUAACAAUUGGACAAUCUUUUCGACUUCUCCAUUCCUGAGAAGCGGGGUUAAAACCUUUAAACGUGAAGAUGGCGGAAAUUACGAGCCUGCAAACUCUAAAGAUACCCCAAAUGAGCAAGAUAGUUUGGACGAGAUACUUGAAAAUCAGAAAUUUGAGACCACUGGAUUGGGAACUUCAUUUCUGGCAAAAUUAGCGAUUGUCUUGGGUGUUGCUGCGAUAGUUACAGCCAUAUCUGUUGGCCUAAGGCCCUCUAGUCCUGGAUCAUCGAUUGGAAUUCAGUGUCUGUCUGAAGGUUCAUCUUCCUCUCCAGUUAUGGCUUCCCCUGCUGGUUUCAGUUUCAAAGUCUUAGGGUACAAAAUUGUACUUCCAGAAUAUGCCCCAGGAUGGAUUUACUUUUGGUUGCUUAUGGCUGCGGGAUUUGGACUCUUCAUUAGUGAAGAGGCUCUAAAUAUCUGGGUUGGCAUAUCUUUGGCACGGUUGCUGACUUUAGAUGGGACAUGGAAAUCUUUUGUUGAAUCUUUCUCCAGAAAUGCUCCUUACAUUAUAUCCACAGUUCUGUGGGUAUACUGGGGAGUUUGCAUCAGUGAUAUGGUACCAUUUUACUUCGGGAAGCUUUUCAGGCAAAGCGGGGCAUCUGAUGAUAUUAGCGCCAAGUUAGGGAUUGGUAAAGAGAAGGCAUUGAGCAUCACUCGUGCGGUACAGAAAUAUGGAAAUCUCAUAGGCUUUGUAGAGCGAUUUUCUCUUGGAAUAAGGAAUCCAACAUCUUUUCUAGCUGGGGCCCUGGGUAUAUCCCCGGAAUUUUUCUUUGCUGGAGUUUGCUGUGGUGGCUUGAUAACUCUUCCACUUCAGUUGGGGAUUGGAUUUCUGAUGAGGGAGCGCCCUGUUUUCGCCCUUGCUACAGUUGCAACAGUAGUGGGAGUUUGGACUGUGUUUCCAUAUGCGGUAGCUGCUUCCACUGCAUUAUUCCUUUACUUGCGACGCUGCAACUCCACAUAGGUCGACCCAAACUUACACAAUUCAAUAGUUCCACAAAUUAAAUUAAGAAUCCAAGAGGUUGUUUUAGGAACAAAAAAAAGCAAGAGAAAAAGAGGGGUGGGAGCAGUUGUGAGGGUUAUGGCAAGGCGGAAAGCUAGGGUGGGGGUGAUUCAACGGCUCCAGAAGGUCGGAAGGGGUUGUCCAAUCUGAAUCUCCGAUGGCCUGCGAACUCAAAAAUAUAGUAACAAAGAAAACCACAUAAGAAAAUUAUUUGGUAUACUUAGCUUGUGUAAGGGAUUGUGGAUAUCUGCAAUUUAUCUCAUUAUACAGAAUAAGAUUUACUAUUUUUUGAGAUAGAAAAUUAAUGCGCAGUGAUUUAAUUAUUGAAAUUACUGGUGAUGAUAGGAUGCUUAAGAGACCUGUCUUAGUGUAAUGAUGCAUAAUGCACUUUCUCUUUUUUGGGGGGCAUUUAGUUUGUUUUAUAAAAAGGAACGGAAGCUU